rnacentral:rRNA from 1 species
UACAGAGGGGUGCGAGCGUUAAUCGGAAUUACUGGGCGUAAAGCGUGCGUAGACGGUUAUGUAAGUCGGAUGUGAAAGCCCCGGGCUCAACCUGGGAAUUGCAUUCGAGACUGUGUAGCUAGGAUGCGGAAGAGGGAAGCGGAAUUUCCGGUGUAGCGGUGAAAUGCGUAGAUAUCGGAAGGAACACCAGUGGCGAAAGCGGGCUUCCUGGUCCAGCAUCGACGUUCAGGCACGAAAGCGUGGGGAGCAAACAGG